AUCCAGCUGAAAAUUCCCAAAUAGGACGAAACGCGCGUUCUAGAU
rnacentral:hammerhead_ribozyme from 1 species